rnacentral:rRNA from 1 species
UAAUACGGAGGGGGCUAGCGUUGUUCGGAAUUACUGGGCGUAAAGGGCGCGCAGGCGGCGGUUCAAGUCGGGCGUGAAAGGCCUGGGCUCAACCCGGGAAUGGCGCUCGAGACUGGACUGCUCGAGUCCGGGAGAGGAUGGUGGAAUUCCCAGUGUAGAGGUGAAAUUCGUAGAUAUUGGGAAGAACACCGGUGGCGAAGGCGGCCAUCUGGACCGGUACUGACGCUGAGGCGCGAAAGCGUGGGGAGCAAACAGGAUUAGAUACCCUGGUAGUCCACGCCGUAAACGAUGAGUGCUAGACGUCGGGGGGCAUGGCCCUUCGGUGUCGCAGCCAACGCGCUAAGCACUCCGCCUGGGGAGUACGGCCGCAAGGUUA